AUAACCUGGUCGGUUUUCUUUUGUGGUGUGUGUUUAUAUUGUGCGAGUUCUGUUCUUUUGUUCUGCGGUAAAUCUUGUUGUUGUUUGCUGUUUAGGUCUAUGUUCCCUUUAUGAGCUGUAACGCACACCAUGAAGGUCUGCGGCUUGGCUAUUGAGUCAGUGAGAGCGUGAACCUACUAUUAGAAGAAAAACUCUGAAUACGUCUGAACGUCAGAAAGAACGAAGUUUGGACACAUUGUCUUUAAGAACUGUAACACUCACCCCAAGGGUUUAUGGAUUCAUUCUUGAAAUCAGUGAAACCAAAAGCUUUCCAAAGUUUAACACACAGGGAAAUGACUUACUGCAAAGAACCACUCUUCCCCACGAGACUUCGAGAAGACCCGCUGUCACGGACUGAGUUGUGUCCUCUUAAAAUUCAGAUGUUGGAGUCCAAACCCCCAGUAACUCAGAGUGUGAACGUAUUUGAAGAGGUCUUUAAAGAGGUGAUGAAGGGAGAGAGACCCCAUGAGCUCGUCAAGCUCCUUCUGUGACUGAUCAGAGAUCCCACCGUGAGUCCAGCUCCUGGUCCCAUGCUCUGGAUAUAUCGGUCCCUGGCAGCGUGGUAAGGAUUUGAUUUUGAUUAUUUGCUUGAGUGCCCUUCUGGCUUUGUUUCGUAGUUGGCUUCUGUUUAACCUUGGUGCUAUGCGAAAUUCUCAAUCCACUUCUCACC
rnacentral:lncRNA from 1 species